rnacentral:rRNA from 1 species
UACGUAGGUGGCAAGCGUUGUCCGGAUUUAUUGGGCGUAAAGAGCGCGCAGGCGGUCCGUUAAGUCCGAGGUGAAAUCUUCCGGCUCAACUGGGAGGGGUCCUCGGAUACUGGCGGACUUGAGGAGAGCAGAGGUGAGUGGAAUUCUGGGUGUAGUGGUGAAAUGCGUAGAUAUCCAGAGGAACACCAGUGGCGAAGGCGGCUCACUGGGCUCCACCUGACGCUGAGGCGCGAAAGCGUGGGGAGCGAACCGG